CGUGCGCACGCGCCGAAUCCCGCGAGGGAACCGGGGAACCACCACCUUGGGGUGAAUCACGCGGAAGCCGCCGCCCACCAGCGGCCGGUAUACGCGCGUAGGAGACCUUCUCGCUCCGAACCCGUCAGCUAACCCGGUAGGCGACGGAAGGAAAGGAGCA
rfam:Streptomyces longwoodensis strain DSM 41677 genomic scaffold PRJNA299227_s012, whole genome shotgun sequence.